rnacentral:rRNA from 1 species
UACGUAGGGUGCGAGCGUUGUCCGGAAUUACUGGGCGUAAAGAGCUCGUAGGUGGUUUGUCGCGUUGUUCGUGAAAACUCACAACUCAAUUGUGGGCGUGCGGGCGAUACGGGCAGACUGGAGUACUGCAGGGGAGACUGGAAUUCCUGGUGUAGCGGUGGAAUGCGCAGAUAUCAGGAGGAACACCGGUGGCGAAGGCGGGUCUCUGGGCAGUAACUGACGCUCAUGCACGAAAGCGUGGGGAGCAAACAGG